rnacentral:rRNA from 1 species
AUUGAACGCUGGCGGCAUGCUUUACACAUGCAAGUCGAACGGUAACAGGCCGCAAGGUGCUGACGAGUGGCGAACGGGUGAGUAAUGCAUCGGAACGUGCCCAGUCGUGGGGGAUAACUACUCGCAAGAGUAGCUAAUACCGCAUACGAUCUAUGGAUGAAAGCGGGGGACCGUAAGGCCUCGCGCGAUUGGAGCGGCCGAUGUCAGAUUAGGUAGUUGGUGGGGUAAAGGCUCACCAAGCCAACGAUCUGUAGCUGGUCUGAGAGGACAACCAGCCACACUGGGACUGAGACACGGCCCAGACUCCUACGGGAGGCAGCAGUGGGGAAUUUUGGACAAUGGGCGCAAGCCUGAUCCAGCAAUGCCGCGUGCAGGAAGAAGGCCUUCGGGUUGUAAACUGCUUUUGUACGGAACGAAACGGCUCUGGUUAAUACCCGGGGCUAAUGACGGUACCGUAAGAAUAAGCACCGGCUAACUACGUG